UACGUAGGGUGCAAGCGUUAAUCGGAAUUACUGGGCGUAAAGCGUGCGCAGGCGGUGAUGUAAGACAGGUGUGAAAUCCCCGGGCUUAACCUGGGAACUGCAUUUGUGACUGCAUCGCUGGAGUGCGGCAGAGGGGGAUGGAAUUCCGCGUGUAGCAGUGAAAUGCGUAGAUAUGCGGAGGAACACCGAUGGCGAAGGCAAUCCCCUGGCCGGCCCUGACACUGAGACGCGAAGGCGUGGGGAGCGAACGGG
rnacentral:rRNA from 1 species